GUGGGGAAUCUUCCACAAUGGACGAAAGUCUGAUGGAGCAACGCCGCGUGAGUGAAGAAGGGUUUCGGCUCGUAAAGCUCUGUUGUCGGGGACGAAUGUGCAGUAUUUGAAUAAAGUACUGUAAUGACGGUACCUGACGAGGAAGCCACGGCUAACUACGUGCCAGCAGCCGCGGUAAUACGUAGGUGGCAAGCGUUGUCCGGAAUUAUUGGGCGUCAAGGGAGCGCAGGCGGGAAGGUAAGUCGGUCUUAAAAGUGCGGGGCUCAACCCCGGGAUGGGAUAGAAACUAUCUUUCUUGAGUGCAGGAGAGGAAAGUGGAAUUCCUAGUGUAGCGGUGAAAUGCGUAGAUAUUAGGAGGAACACCAGUGGCGAAGGCGACUUUCUGGACUGUAACUGACGCUGAGGCUCGAAAGCCAGGGGAGCGAACGGGAUUAGAUACCCUUGUAGUCC
rnacentral:rRNA from 1 species